rnacentral:rRNA from 1 species
GCUUGCGGCGUGCUUAACACAUGCAAGUCGAACGGAAAGGCCCUGCUUUUGUGGGGUGCUCGAGUGGCGAACGGGUGAGUAACACGUGAGUAACCUGCCCUUGACUUUGGGAUAACUUCAGGAAACUGGGGCUAAUACCGGAUAGGAGCUCCUGCUGCAUGGUGGGGGUUGGAAAGUUUCGGCGGUUGGGGAUGGACUCGCGGCUUAUCAGCUUGUUGGUGGGGUAGUGGCUUACCAAGGCUUUGACGGGUAGCCGGCCUGAGAGGGUGACCGGCCACAUUGGGACUGAGAUACGGCCCAGACUCCUACGGGAGGCAGCAGUGGGGAAUAUUGCACAAUGGGCGGAAGCCUGAUGCAGCAACGCCGCGUGCGGGAUGACGGCCUUCGGGUUGUAAACCGCUUUCGCCUGUGACGAAGCGUGAGUGACGGUAAUGGGUAAAGAAGCACCGGCUAACUACGUGCCAGCAGCCGCGGUGAUACGUAGGGUGCGAGCGUUGUCCGGAUUUAUUGGGCGUAAAGGGCUCGUAGGUGGUUGAUCGCGUCGGAAGUGUAAUCUUGGGGCUUAACCCUGAGCGUGCUUUCGAUACGGGUUGACUUGAGGAAGGUAGGGGAGAAUGGAAUUCCUGGUGGAGCGGUGGAAUGCGCAGAUAUCAGGAGGAACACCAGUGGCGAAGGCGGUUCUCUGGGCCUUUCCUGACGCUGAGGAGCGAAAGCGUGGGGAGCGAACAGGCUUAGAUACCCUGGUAGUCCACGCUGUAAACGGUGGGUACUAGGUGUGGGGUCCAUUCCACGGGUUCCGUGCCGUAGCUAACGCUUUAAGUACCCCGCCUGGGGAGUACGGCCGCAAGGCUAAAACUCAAAGGAAUUGACGGGGCCCCGCACAAGCGGCGGGGCAUGCGGAUUAAUUCGAUGCAACGCGUAGAACCUUACCUGGGUUUGACAUGGAUCGGGAGUGCUCAGAGAUGGGUGUGCCUCUUUUGGGGUCGGUUCACAGGUGGUGCAUGGCUGUCGUCAGCUCGUGUCGUGAGAUGUUGGGUUAAGUCCCGCAACGAGCGCAACCCUUGUUCACUGUUGCCAGCACGUUAUGGUGGGGACUCAGUGGAGACCGCCGGGGUCAACUCGGAGGAAGGUGGGGAUGACGUCAAGUCAUCAUGCCCCUUAUGUCCAGGGCUUCACGCAUGCUACAAUGGCUGGUACAGAGAGUGGCGAGCCUGUGAGGGUGAGCGAAUCUCGGAAAGCCGGUCUCAGUUCGGAUUGGGGUCUGCAACUCGACCUCAUGAAGUCGGAGUCGCUAGUAAUCGCAGAUCAGCAACGCUGCGGUGAAUACGUUCCCGGGGCUUGUACACACCGCCCGUCAAGUCAUGAAAGUUGGUAACACCCGAAGCCGGUGGCCUAACCGUUGUGGGGGAGCCGUCGAAGGUGGGACUGGUGAUU